GGUAUCGGGGUGUUUAACGCCAUAUGUUUCCCUGUCCUACGAUCACAACUCUCCAAGCUAGCGUGUGAACACGAACGAGGUCUGAUGUUGGCCUUUGUCGGAUGUAUGGAUAGUUUAGGGGCCUUAUUGACACCCAUCAUCCUUAAUAAUAUUUACUCAGAGACCGUCUCGUUUUAUCCACCUUUGGUCUUCUUCUUUAGUGCAGCAUUUCAGGUCAUCCCUACCGUCAGCGUCGGCAUCCUACAGUGCAGGCAUAGAAGAGAAGUUAAAUAUCUCGUGAUCAAUAGGGAGGACAUUGAAGAACACAGUAAAGCAUCAUGACGUCACAAAGCAAUCAAUCGGACAUCUGACAAUGUGUUAUGAUCGACGCUUUCCUUUUUUUCGCAAUGAAAAUCUACAAUAGCGCCAACUUGCUUUGUUGCGCAAUGGAAGUGUCACCGAAUGUAGAGGUCAUCUAACCGAACGGUGGUACAUAAUUAAGCGGGUAUAUAAGAUAGACCAUUUACUGCCCAAGGGACAGACAAGUGCCAUAUAGACCCUCUUCAUGCACCCAUGCACCGUGAUAGCAGGUUGCCAUUUCCCCAAGCAUUACGACCACAUGCAGAUUAACAGUGCCAUUUACAUUGUGAUGGGGGUACGCCCCCCCCCCCCCCCAAUCAAAUGAUCACACAAUUAGUAAAAAGAUCCCCAAGAGAGAAAGAGAGAGAGAGAGAGAGAGAGAGAGAAGGAAAAAAGGAAUACGGAUGAAGACAAGUAUGAUGGGCCCCAUCUGAUCUACGCACCCUUCCCUAAGAGACAGGCGCGGAUCCAGGAUUUCUUAGGGGUUUUGGGGUCCAAAUUUGAAAUCAAUUUGAAAUUUAGUGUGCUGAAAUAAGAAAAUC